rnacentral:rRNA from 1 species
UACGUAGGGAGCAAGCGUUGUUCGGAUUUACUGGGCGUAAAGGGCGCGUAGGCGGCGCUGUAAGUCACUUGUGAAAUCUCUGGGCUUAACUCGGAACGGUCAAGUGAUACUGCAGUGCUAGAGUGCGGAAGGGGCAAUCGGAAUUCUUGGUGUAGCGGUGAAAUGCGUAGAUAUCAAGAGGAACACCUGCGGCGAAGGCGGGUUGCUGGGCUGACACUGACGCUGAGGCGCGAAAGCUAGGGGAGCGAACGGG